rnacentral:misc_RNA from 1 species
UGACGGAGGCACUGCCACCACCACCAGCACGGCCUCCCCUUUCCUUCCUCGCGCGCCCUCUAACGGAGUAUGCGUCCCGCCCUCCCCUAGCACGCACUCACUAGCGCACAUCCGCGAGCAAGAGCGGAAAACGUGAGCUCCCCCGCCGGUUGCACGCUGAUGCAUAUCCACGUGCUGCCUAACGAGCAUGUGCAGCGUCACAUACAGGCAGGCCGACACCCCUUGCCAACAGAACGGAGGUGCCACCGCUUCUCCCAGCCUGUGUGUGUGCGCGCGCUCUCUGCUCGCCCUCAUUUGCUGUAUUGCCUCUAUAGAGCUACUUUUGUGCUUCGUCUGUUCGUUCCGUCGUUCUCUCGCCGCUUCGCAGUUUCUCUGUGGAUUCGUGCGUGUGUUCUUUCUUUACCUUUCGUUCUUGGCUCGCUCUCUCAUGUUCAGCGGCGCUACGAGGUUAUGCGAUGCUGGCUGCUGAAGCGCGUCAUGGCGCGUCUGUCUAACGCUGCGUGCGAGCAUGUGUGUGGUCGAAAGAGUGCGCAUAGGUGUGUCGAUGAUGUGUUGUUCACGACGGGGCUCUCGAAGGCGCACGGCGGCUCUGACUCUACUUCACAUCUUCGCCGCUGUCCCUUCUAGACUCGCUCCUCCUCCUCAUGAAGUGGCGUCCGUUCAAUUUGUGUGUUGUAUAGACGCAUCCUUGCCGCUUCUGGUGCGUCGGCGUUCGCGAGGUCGUAUACAUGCGCGUGUUGGCUGCAGGUGUUCGCGUGCACGAUUGCUUACGUGCAUGUGUUUGUGUGUAUGUGUCUGUGUCUGUCUCUGUCUCUCUGCCUGUUUGUCGGGGUGGUGCUCUCCAGGCCGGCGACAUGUAAUGCCUUAACUAACCUACGCUGAAAGAUAUGGUAAACCGGAAAGCAGGACAGAGAGUGCAGACAGCGAGGGCGGGGGAGAGGGGAGGCGGCGUGCGGGGGACGUGUUGUCGGCCGCGCUCUCCUUUUGUUUUUUUCGCCUUCUGCCACCGUGCUCGAUGUGCAGCUGUGUGCAAGUUUCCUCGCUGAACUCCAGCAUGGGUCGUGGGCACCCGCACCCACGACAAGGGAGGCAACGAAGGCAUGCAGACGUGAGCUUCGAAUGCGGCUCUUGCGUCAGUGGCGCAGGCGUCGAGUGUCGUGUAGCAGCUGGUGCCACGGCGAUCGGUGGGGCAUUCCGUCUGCAGCGCAAGCAAACCCCUCUCCGUGUGUGCGCGUGCUUGCUUGUUAACCUUAGUCUUGUGGGCGCCGGUGCGUGCCUGCUGUGGUCGCCGCCCCGCUCGCGCCGAUUCCUUCCCGCCGCUUUCGCUCUUCCCGACAGACACACCUUUUGUGGCGACAGUGAUGCGACAUGCGUGCGCGAGCAUCUGCCCCGUCUGCCCCUCUUUUCCGAUUUCUCGGCUCUAACGAUGCUGUGCGUUGUACUUCUCUCUCUUCCUCGCACGGCGUCCUCUGUCUCCGUGUUUGGGGUCGGCAUACACACACACACGCACGCACGGCCAUAUGGGCGCCGGCACAUACUUGAAAUCGGGGUGACGGCCAG